UCAGAUUCACCUUUAUCGUCAAAAAAUCGAAGGCUGAAUCCGCCAUGGCUGCAAAAAUCAGUUGCCUACUGAGAUGGGCAAAUCAGAUUUCGCCGCGCCAAUAUACGGAUUCGCUUAUAUCUGAUCUUCUGAUUCAAAAAUUCAUCACAGCCUCAAAAAUUGAUUAAUCACUGCACAUUUUCGAUAACCGAUCUCAAUCUAUUGAGCCCAGGACAGAACUCAAUGCUUUUUCUUCGCGAAAAAAAUUAGUACAGAUUAACGAUUAGGGUUUGUAAGAAUGGAAAUUACUGGGGAUCAUCAUCAUUUUCAUCAUCAAGUUACAUCACAAGGGCUGUUGACAUAGCAAAAAGUUGUGAAAUUAUAGGCCACGAUUUCGCAGAGGGGGGGCAACCACCCUCGAAAACACCCUCCUCUUUUUCCGUC
rnacentral:lncRNA from 1 species